rnacentral:rRNA from 1 species
GACGAACGCUGGCGGCGUGCUUAACACAUGCAAGUCGAACGGUAAGGCCCUUCGGGGUACACGAGUGGCGAACGGGUGAGUAACACGUAGGUGAUCUGCCCUGCACUUCGGGAUAAGCCUGGGAAACUGGGUCUAAUACCGGAUAGGACUCCGGACUGCAUGGUCUGGGGUGGAAAGCUUUUGCGGUGUGGGAUGGGCCCGCGGCCUAUCAGCUUGUUGGUGGGGUGAUGGCCUACCCAGGCGACGACGGGUAGCCGGCCUGAGAGGGUGACCGGCCACACUGGGACUGAGAUACGGCCCAGACUCCUACGGGAGGCAGCAGUGGGGAAUAUUGCACAAUGGGCGCAAGCCUGAUGCAGCGACGCCGCGUGAGGGAUGACGGCCUUCGGGUUGUAAACCUCUUUCAGCAUCGACGAAGCGAAAGUGACGGUAGGUGCAGAAGAAGGACCGGCCAACUACGUGCCAGCCGCCGCGGUAA